GAAGCGGAACCAAAAACAAGCGGAACCAAAAAACAAGCCCAACAAGAGGGGACGGAAAAGAGUGGAACGCAGACAGGAAAUGACUAAGCGGAAAACACAAACAAGGAAGUGGAGUGGAGAUGACCAAGCGGGAAACACAAACACAGAAGAGGAACCAAAAGACCAACAGAGGAACCAAAACAAACCACAAUUGAAGAAAAGCAACGGAAAGAGGAACAGCUACGAGACAGAAUAAACAAGAGAAGAUUUUGUUUGAAAGAAAAGCAUCUUGGGGAAACGACAAACGGAAGGACAAGAAGUCCAACAGACACAGUGAGUAAGCAGUGCCUGAAGAAGGCUAAACCAAGCCGAAACGUCGCGCGCGAAAAGCUUACUCGGGGGAAUGAUGCUGGACUGAUGUGGGGGGUGCCAUUAAAUGUAUAUGUGUAUGUAUUUAUUUUGGGGCGGACAUGCCAUUUUUUAUUUGAUGGACAGGGGGCGCCAAAUUUGGUUAGGGGAAUGGUGAAAAGACAAAGAAAGAUGUGGAACUAAAAUAAAUUGAACCUAAAUUAAGGAGGAAUUGAACCUAAAUUAAGGAUAAGAAAGAACAAAAUGAUACCAAAGUCAAAAUGAGGACAGACAAACUUAAAACCUAAAUUUGGAGGAUGGACGGAACAAAUUGUAAUUAAUGGAAGGAGGUUGGCACGCCAAAUUCGGCUAAUUAGAAGACAAAUAAAAUGAAAAGUCUAAAUUUAGAAAACUAAGAAAAACAAAACAAAGACAAAAAGUCACAAACAUAAAGUCAAAUAAGGACAAAGGGUGAUCAAAAGCAAUUUUAUUCACAAAAAAACAAAUGGAAGUCAAAUAAGACAAAAAUUAAAGUCAAAUAAGGACACAGGAUGAUCAAAAGCAACAAAAAACAAACUGAAGUCAAACAAGACAAAAAAUAAAGUCGAAUAAGGACACAGAGUGAUCAAAAGCAAUUUUAUUAACAAAAAAACAAAUGGAAGUCAAACAAGACAAAAAAUAAAGUCAAAUAAGGACACAGGGUGAUAACAAAAGACAAAUUGAAGUCAAAUAAGACAAAAAGGUCAAAACAAACAUAAAACCAAAUACGGAACAAUUGAAGUCAAAUAAGACAACAAAAAGGUCAAAACAAACAUAAAACCAAAUUGAAGUAACUCAAAUCAGAGUACAUUAAAGGGGAAUUCUUCCGCGUGUCUCAGUGGUGGGGCCGGGCGGUUGCGUAGUGUGGAGCUUGGGGGAUGGACAGUGCAUUUCCUUCCUCUCGGGGGCGCUCGCGUCCCCAGAGGGGGAGGCUCGGAUUCCCUUCCCUAACCUCGCCAGUGCCUCCCCCUUGCUCUCUUCUGCCCGAACCCCUCCCUUGGAUCCCGCGCCAUUGGCCUGGAUUCGGUGGGGUCCCUCGCCUGCGUGCUCGUCCCCCGGCCCUGGCCCUGGUCGCCUUGUCCCGCCUUCCGGACCUUACCUAUUGGAGUCGCGCCGCCAGAGAGCCUAAGCCGCGUGAGUGGAGUCGCGCCGCCGGAGAGCCGUAAGCCGCGUGAGUGGAGUCGCGCCGCCAGGGAGCCGUAAGACGCGUGAAUGGAGUCGCGCCGCCAGAGAGCCGUAAGCCGCGUGAGCUGGAGUCGUAGCUGGGAUCCGAGGGAUCCAUCCGCAACAGAGGAGGUGAUGCCGGACGAGCACGUGAACCAACAAAUUGGACCUUAGUCAGGUUGGUGGAAUGAGUGUGGCUGGAGUUGGCGCCAGUGGGGGGGGUCGCGUUGUGGGGGGAUUCCUGCCGGCUCCUCCUUGGAGGACCGGAUGCCUCACCCACUCCGGAUCCUAACCAUAACCUCAGAGGGGUCCAGCCCUAACCUUAAAUUUGGAUCUGCGCAACCCCAGUUACGCCAUUAAAUUCGGGGAAUAACCCGAACCCUAGGGCCUCUCCCAAUGGGGCGAAAAAUUCAAAAACUCAAAAAAGAAAGGAGAAAUCACUCAAAGACUAAAAGAGUAAAGAACAGAAGCAAAAUAACUCAAAAAAGAAAAGAGAAAUCACUCAAACACUAAAAGAGUAAAGAACAGAAGCAAAAUAACUCAAAAAAGAAAAGAGAAAUCACUCAAACACUAAAAGAGUAAAGAACAGAAGCGGAACCAAAAACAAGCGGAACCAAAAAACAAGCCCAACAAGAGGGGACGGAAAAGAGUGGAACGCAGACAGGAAAUGACUAAGCGGAAAACACAAACAAGGAAGUGGAGUGGAGAUGACCAAGCGGGAAACACAAACACAGAAGAGGAACCAAAAGACCAACAGAGGAACCAAAACAAACCACAAUUGAAGAAAAGCAACGGAAAGAGGAACAGCUACGAGACAGAAUAAACAAGAGAAGAUUUUGUUUGAAAGAAAAGCAUCUUGGGGAAACGACAAACGGAAGGACAAGAAGUCCAACAGACACAGUGAGUAAGCAGUGCCUGAAGAAGGCUAAACCAAGCCGAAACGUCGCGCGCGAAAAGCUUACUCGGGGGAAUGAUGCUGGACUGAUGUGGGGGGUGCCAUUAAAUGUAUAUGUGUAUGUAUUUAUUUUGGGGCGGACAUGCCAUUUUUUAUUUGAUGGACAGGGGGCGCCAAAUUUGGUUAGGGGAAUGGUGAAAAGACAAAGAAAGAUGUGGAACUAAAAUAAAUUGAACCUAAAUUAAGGAGGAAUUGAACCUAAAUUAAGGAUAAGAAAGAACAAAAUGAUACCAAAGUCAAAAUGAGGACAGACAAACUUAAAACCUAAAUUUGGAGGAUGGACGGAACAAAUUGUAAUUAAUGGAAGGAGGUUGGCACGCCAAAUUCGGCUAAUUAGAAGACAAAUAAAAUGAAAAGUCUAAAUUUAGAAAACUAAGAAAAACAAAACAAAGACAAAAAGUCACAAACAUAAAGUCAAAUAAGGACAAAGGGUGAUCAAAAGCAAUUUUAUUCACAAAAAAACAAAUGGAAGUCAAAUAAGACAAAAAUUAAAGUCAAAUAAGGACACAGGAUGAUCAAAAGCAACAAAAAACAAACUGAAGUCAAACAAGACAAAAAAUAAAGUCGAAUAAGGACACAGAGUGAUCAAAAGCAAUUUUAUUAACAAAAAAACAAAUGGAAGUCAAACAAGACAAAAAAUAAAGUCAAAUAAGGACACAGGGUGAUAACAAAAGACAAAUUGAAGUCAAAUAAGACAAAAAGGUCAAAACAAACAUAAAACCAAAUACGGAACAAUUGAAGUCAAAUAAGACAACAAAAAGGUCAAAACAAACAUAAAACCAAAUUGAAGUAACUCAAAUCAGAGUACAUUAAAGGGGAAUUCUUCCGCGUGUCUCAGUGGUGGGGCCGGGCGGUUGCGUAGUGUGGAGCUUGGGGGAUGGACAGUGCAUUUCCUUCCUCUCGGGGGCGCUCGCGUCCCCAGAGGGGGAGGCUCGGAUUCCCUUCCCUAACCUCGCCAGUGCCUCCCCCUUGCUCUCUUCUGCCCGAACCCCUCCCUUGGAUCCCGCGCCAUUGGCCUGGAUUCGGUGGGGUCCCUCGCCUGCGUGCUCGUCCCCCGGCCCUGGCCCUGGUCGCCUUGUCCCGCCUUCCGGACCUUACCUAUUGGAGUCGCGCCGCCAGAGAGCCUAAGCCGCGUGAGUGGAGUCGCGCCGCCGGAGAGCCGUAAGCCGCGUGAGUGGAGUCGCGCCGCCAGGGAGCCGUAAGACGCGUGAAUGGAGUCGCGCCGCCAGAGAGCCGUAAGCCGCGUGAGCUGGAGUCGUAGCUGGGAUCCGAGGGAUCCAUCCGCAACAGAGGAGGUGAUGCCGGACGAGCACGUGAACCAACAAAUUGGACCUUAGUCAGGUUGGUGGAAUGAGUGUGGCUGGAGUUGGCGCCAGUGGGGGGGGUCGCGUUGUGGGGGGAUUCCUGCCGGCUCCUCCUUGGAGGACCGGAUGCCUCACCCACUCCGGAUCCUAACCAUAACCUCAGAGGGGUCCAGCCCUAACCUUAAAUUUGGAUCUGCGCAACCCCAGUUACGCCAUUAAAUUCGGGGAAUAACCCGAACCCUAGGGCCUCUCCCAAUGGGGCGAAAAAUUCAAAAUAACUCAAAAAAGAAAGGAGAAAUCACUCAAAGACUAAAAGAGUAAAGAACAGAAGCAAAAUAACUCAAAAAAGAAAAGAGAAAUCACUCAAACACUAAAAGAGUAAAGAACAGAAGCAAAAUAACUCAAAAAAGAAAAGAGAAAUCACUCAAACACUAAAAGAGUAAAGAAUAGAAGCGGAACCAAAAACAAGCGGAACCAAAAAACAAGCCCAACAAGAGGGGACGGAAAAGAGUGGAACGCAGACAGGAAAUGACUAAGCGGAAAACACAAACAAGGAAGUGGAGUGGAGAUGACCAAGCGGGAAACACAAACACAGAAGAGGAACCAAAAGACCAACAGAGGAACCAAAACAAACCACAAUUGAAGAAAAGCAACGGAAAGAGGAACAGCUACGAGACAGAAUAAACAAGAGAAGAUUUUGUUUGAAAGAAAAGCAUCUUGGGGAAACGACAAACGGAAGGACAAGAAGUCCAACAGACACAGUGAGUAAGCAGUGCCUGAAGAAGGCUAAACCAAGCCGAAACGUCGCGCGCGAAAAGCUUACUCGGGGGAAUGAUGCUGGACUGAUGUGGGGGGUGCCAUUAAAUGUAUAUGUGUAUGUAUUUAUUUUGGGGCGGACAUGCCAUUUUUUAUUUGAUGGACAGGGGGCGCCAAAUUUGGUUAGGGGAAUGGUGAAAAGACAAAGAAAGAUGUGGAACUAAAAUAAAUUGAACCUAAAUUAAGGAGGAAUUGAACCUAAAUUAAGGAUAAGAAAGAACAAAAUGAUACCAAAGUCAAAAUGAGGACAGACAAACUUAAAACCUAAAUUUGGAGGAUGGACGGAACAAAUUGUAAUUAAUGGAAGGAGGUUGGCACGCCAAAUUCGGCUAAUUAGAAGACAAAUAAAAUGAAAAGUCUAAAUUUAGAAAACUAAGAAAAACAAAACAAAGACAAAAAGUCACAAACAUAAAGUCAAAUAAGGACAAAGGGUGAUCAAAAGCAAUUUUAUUCACAAAAAAACAAAUGGAAGUCAAAUAAGACAAAAAUUAAAGUCAAAUAAGGACACAGGAUGAUCAAAAGCAACAAAAAACAAACUGAAGUCAAACAAGACAAAAAAUAAAGUCGAAUAAGGACACAGAGUGAUCAAAAGCAAUUUUAUUAACAAAAAAACAAAUGGAAGUCAAACAAGACAAAAAAUAAAGUCAAAUAAGGACACAGGGUGAUAACAAAAGACAAAUUGAAGUCAAAUAAGACAAAAAGGUCAAAACAAACAUAAAACCAAAUACGGAACAAUUGAAGUCAAAUAAGACAACAAAAAGGUCAAAACAAACAUAAAACCAAAUACGGAACAAUUGAAGUCAAAUAAGACAACAAAAAGGUCAAAACAAACAUAAAACCAAAUUGAAGUAA